rnacentral:rRNA from 1 species
UACGUAGGGGGCAAGCGUUGUCCGGAUUUAUUGGGCGUAAAGAGCGUGUAGGCGGUUUGGUAGGUCCGCUGUGAAAACUCGAGGCUCAACCUCGAGACGCCGGUGGAAACCAUCAGACUAGAGUCCGGAAGAGGAGAGUGGAAUUCCUGGUGUAGCGGUGAAAUGCGUAGAUAUGUGGAAGAACACCGGUGGCGAAGGCGGUUUUCUAGCUUACUCCUGACGCUGAGGCGCGAAAGCAAGGGGAUCAAACAGG